UACGUAGGGGGCAAGCGUUGUCCGGAUUUACUGGGCUUAAAGGGCGCGUAGGCGGGCAGGUAAGUCAGUGGUGAAAUCUCCGGGCUUAACCCGGAAACUGCCAUUGAUACUAUCUGUCUUGAAUUUCCUGGAGGUAAGCGGAAUAUGUCAUGUAGCGGUGAAAUGCUUAGAUAUGACAUAGAACACCAAUUGCGAAGGCAGCUUACUACGGGAAUAUUGACACUGAGGCACGAAAGCGUGGGGAUCAAACAGG
rnacentral:rRNA from 1 species